UCGGAAGGUGCGGCUGGAUCACCUCCUUUCUAAGGAUAAUACGGAGCGCUUUUGUUUUGUUCAGUUUUGAAUGAGUAAUUCAUUCAACUAUAUACACUUUCACGUUGUGAAAGGAAUAUAGUCAUUUUGUUCCUUGAAAACUAGAUAAUAGAUAGAAGGCAAUUAAUUUUUGCGUCAAUUUUCAAAACACCGAGUAAGAUUUUUUUAUGGAUGAAUGAGAAACGAAAGUGAAUCAUCAGCCAAUGGUUAAGUUAGAAAGGGCGCAC
rnacentral:misc_RNA from 1 species